UACGAAGGUGGCAAGCGUUACUCGGAAUUACUAGGCGUAAAGGGCAGGUAGGUGGUCUGAUAAGUCUGUUGUGAAAGCUCCCGGCUUAACUGGGAGAGGUCAACAGAAACUAUCAGGCUUGAGUAUAGGAGAGGGUACUGGAAUUCCCGGUGUAGCGGUGAAAUGCGCAGAGAUCGGGAGGAACCCCAAUGGCGAAAGCAGGUACCUGGACUAUUACUGACACUCAGCUGCGAAAGCUAGGGGA
rnacentral:rRNA from 1 species